AUACUUACCUGGCAGGAAGGCUAUGACCACGGAGGUGGUUUCCCAGGGUGAGGCUCAUUCACUGUAUCUGGGACGUGCUAGCCCUGUGGCUUCUCCAAAAGCAGGAAACUCGACUGCAUAAUUUGUGCGAGUGGGGACUAUGCUUACCUUCUCCCCUA